GACGAACGCUGGCGGCGUGCUUAACACAUGCAAGUCGAACGAAGUGGCGAACGGGUGAGUAAUACGUGGGUUACUGCCCUCCUUUUUGGGAUAAGCCUUGAAAACGGGGUCUAAUACCGAAUAAAGGGGGAUGGCGCGCGGGCUAUCCGCUUGUUGGUGGGGUGAUGGCCUACCAAGGCGGUGACGGGUAGCCGGCCUGAGAGGGUGACCGGCCACAUUGGGCUGAGAUAGGGCCCAAACUCGUACGGGAGGCAGCAGUCGGGAAUAUUGCACAAUGGGGGAACACCUGAUGCAGCAACGCAGGUGCGGGAUGACGGCCUUCGGGUUGUAAACCGCUUUCAGCCAUGACGCGGUAGUGGCAGAAGAAGCACCGGCUAACUACGUGCCAGCAGCCGCGGUAAUAC
rnacentral:rRNA from 1 species